rnacentral:rRNA from 1 species
AUUGAACGCUGGCGGCAUGCCUUACACAUGCAAGUCGAACGGUAACAGGCCGCAAGGUGCUGACGAGUGGCGAACGGGUGAGUAAUGCAUCGGAACGUGCCCAGUCGUGGGGGAUAACUGCUCGAAAGAGCAGCUAAUACCGCAUACGACCUGAGGGUGAAAGCGGGGGACCGUAAGGCCUCGCGCGAUUGGAGCGGCCGAUGUCAGAUUAGGUAGUUGGUGAGGUAAAGGCGUCACCAAGCCAACGAUCUGUAGCUGGUCUGAGAGGACGACCAGCCACACUGGGACUGAGACACGGCCCAGACUCCUACGGGAGGCAGCAGUGGGGAAUUUUGGACAAUGGACGCAAGUCUGAUCCAGCCAUGCCGCGUGCGGGAAGAAGGCCUCGGUUGUAACGCUUUGUCAGGAGAAAGGCUCCGGAUAUAACCUGGGCGUCAUGACGGUACCUGAAGAAUAAGACACCGGCUAACUACGUGCCAGCAGCC